rnacentral:lncRNA from 1 species
CCUGUUCAAAAAAAUGAUGCUUCAACUAUAAAAAGUGCAAUUGAGGAAACAUUUCAAAUAAAUCUUCAGCUUAGCUUGGCAAGCCAAGACUGGUCAAGAAAAUUAGUUGGAUUUGGAAGCGAGGAGACAGAUGUAAUGACUGGUCAAAAUAAUGGGGUAGCUAAUCUCAUGAGGGAAAUUCAACCUUGUGUGCAGUCUGUGCAUUGUUUUGCUCACCGCCUAAGGCUGGCAUACAAGGGAGCACUGGAAAACAUUCAGCUAUACAGCUUAACCAAUGGCUUGAGAAGUAUGUACUACUUUUAUCAUAACUCAACUCUAAAUAAGAAGAAUCUCAAAGCUAUAUAUGAAGCCAUCAAGUUACAUCCAGCUAUUCCAUCUUGCACUGGGGGCUCCCAGUGGUUUUCUCGCCUACAGACAGCUCUACAAAUUCUCCUUAAAGGUCAUCCUGCAUUUGUUCUACAUCUGGAUAAGACUAAAAGAGAUUCAAGGUCCUCAAAUAGGCAG